rnacentral:rRNA from 1 species
CUACGGGCGGCUGCAGUGAGGAAUAUUGCACAAUGGGGGGAACCCUGAUGCAGCAACGCUGCGUGGAGGAUGACGCAUUUCGGUGUGUAAACUCCUUUUAUAUGUCAAGAAAAUGACGGUAGCAUAUGAAUAAGCACCGGCUAACUCCGUGCCAGCAGCCGCGGUAAUACGGAGGGUGCAAGCGUUACUCGGAACCACUGGGCGUAAAGGACGCGUAGGCGGGUUGGAAAGUCAGGUGUGAAAUCCUACAGCUUAACUGUAGAACUGCACUUGAAACUUCUAAUCUAGAGUAUGGGAGGGGAGAUGGAAUUAGUGGUGUAGGGGUAAAAUCCGUAGAUAUCACUAGGAAUACCUAAAGCGAAGGCGAUCUCCUGGAACAUUACUGACGCUAAGGCGUGAAAGCGCGGGGAGCAAACAGGAUUAGAUACCCCAGUAGUC